rnacentral:lncRNA from 1 species
AUGUGGGGGACCAGUGCUCUCCAAAAGAGUGCAGCAGCACAGUCAAGCUCUCCCCAGCCCAAGAGCUUGAUGCUCUGAGGCCCACCAAGUCAGCAGAAACUUGCCUGAGCAGGAGUGGACAAGCAAGCAGAGCUGUCAGAGAGCCCUGGGAAGCAAGAGAGAGAAGACAGUGACAGAACGCAGGGAGUUUCCAGCAGGAUGUCCCAGAUCACCAAAGACAUGGCAGUAAGGAUGCUGCACAUGACUCAGUUCCUGAGGAAGAAGGGCCCCAUCACGAGCAAGGAGCAGCUUGUUGCCUGUGCUAGGCAAAUAGCUUCUGAUGGGCAGGCAUUUGUUACAUUCGGCCACAUCAUUGCCAACAUCUGCCUGGACAAGAGAUGUUCUGCAGAGCUGCUGUGUGCUGCAGAGCAGACCCACACCAUCAGCAGCCAGCUCGCCAUCGUGGCCAGGGUAAAAGCAGUUACUGCUGAGAGCAAGUCCUCUUCCGAGCUGCUCGUGAGCAAUGCGCAGAACCUAAUUCAAGCAGUUCUACAUGUUCUGAAGGCAACCGAGGCAGCAUGCAUCAAAGUAAGUUAAUGCUGAUGACACUGAAUAGGUUUUGCAAGGUGAGCUUGUGCUAUGGGG